UAUUUUAGCUAUGAGGCGGAUAUUUGUUACCUGUGGACAGAGCCCGGCUAGCUGUUUCCCCUUGUUUCCAGUCUUUAUGCUAAGCUAAGCUAACCCACUUCUGGCAGUUGCUUCAUAUUUAGCAUACAGACAUGA